rnacentral:rRNA from 1 species
ACGAACGCUGGCGGCGUGCCUAAUACAUGCAAGUUGAGCGCUGAAGGUUGGUACUUGUACCAACUGAAUGAGCAGCGAACGGGUGAGUAACGCGUGGGGAAUCUGCCUUUGAGCGGGGGACAACAUUUGGAAACGAAUGCUAAUACCGCAUAAAAACUUUAAACACAAGUUUUAAGUUUGAAAGAUGCAAUUGCAUCACUCAAAGAUGAUCCCGCGUUGUAUUAGCUAGUUGGUGAGGUAAAGGCUCACCAAGGCGAUGAUACAUAGCCGACCUGAGAGGGUGAUCGGCCACAUUGGGACUGAGACACGGCCCAAACUCCUACGGGAGGCAGCAGUAGGGAAUCUUCGGCAAUGGACGAAAGUCUGACCGAGCAACGCCGCGUGAGUGAAGAAGGUUUUCGGAUCGUAAAACUCUGUUGGUAGAGAAGAACGUUGGUGAGAGUGGAAAGCUCAUCAAGUGACGGUAACUACCCAGAAAGGGACGGCUAACUACGUG